rnacentral:rRNA from 1 species
GACGAACGCUGGCGGCGUGCUUAACACAUGCAAGUCGAACGGAAAGGCCCUGCUUUUGUGGGGUGCUCGAGUGGCGAACGGGUGAGUAACACGUGAGUAACCUGCCCUUGACUUUGGGAUAACUUCAGGAAACUGGGGCUAAUACCGGAUAGGAGCUCCUGCUGCAUGGUGGGGGUGGGUAAGUUUCGGCGGUUGGGGAUGGACUCGCGGCUUAUCAGCUUGUUGGUGGGGUAGUGGCUUACCAAGGCUUUGACGGGUAGCCGGGCUGAGAGGGGGACCGGACACGUUGGGACUGAGAUACGACCCAGACCCCUACGGGACGCAGCAGAGGAGAAUAGUGCACAAUGGGCGGAAGCAUGAUGCAGCAAAGCCGCGUGCGGGAUGACGGGCAUCGGGUUGUAAACCACUGUCGCCUGUGACGAAGCGUGAGUGACGGUAAUGGGUAAAGAAGCACCGGCUAACUACGUG